UAGGGAAUCUUCGGCAAUGGACGAAAGUCUGACCGAGCAACGCCGCGUGAGUGAAGAAGGUUUUCGGAUCGUAAAACUCUGUUGGUAGAGAAGAACGUUGGUGAGAGUGGAAAGCUCAUCAAGUGACGGUAACUACCCAGAAAGGGACGGCUAACUACGUGCCAGCAGCCGCGGUAAUACGUAGGCUCCGAGCGUUGCUCCGGAUUUAUUGGGCGUAAAGCGAGCGCAGGUGGUUUAUUAAGUCUGGUGUAAAAGGCAGUGGCUCAACCAUUGUAUGCAUUGGAAACUGGUAGACUUGAGUGCAGGAGAGGAGAGUGGAAUUCCAUGUGUAGCGGUGAAAUGCGUAGAUAUAUGGAGGAACACCGGUGGCGAAAGCGGCUCUCUGGCCUGUAACUGACACUGAGGCUCGAAAGCGUGGGGAGCAAACA
rnacentral:rRNA from 1 species